GACCUAGUGGUGAAUGGUUCAUACCUGCUUUACUUCAGGUGUGAUCAGGUUUACAGCAGGAGGUCCCGGUUCGAUUCCGGGUUAGGUCA